CCUACGGUGGGCUGCAGUGGGGAAUAUUGCACAAUGGGGGAAACCCUGAUGCAGCGACGCCGCGUGAGUGAAGAAGUAAUUCGUUAUGUAAAGCUCUAUCAGCAGGGAAGAAAAUGACGGUACCUGAGUAAGAAGCCCCGGCUAACUACGUGCCAGCAGCCGCGGUAAUACGUAGGGGGCAAGCGUUAUCCGGAUUUACUGGGUGUAAAGGGAGCGUAGACGGCAGUGCAAGUCUGGAGUGAAAGGCCGGGGCUCAACCCCGGGACUGCAUUGGAAACUGGCAUGCUGGAGUGCCGGAGGGGCAAGCGGAAUUCCUAGUGUAGCGGUGAAAUGCGUAGAUAUUAGGAGGAACACCGGUGGCGAAGGCGGCUUGCUGGACGGUAACUGACGUUGAGGCUCGAAAGCGUGGGGAGCAAACAGGAUUAGAUCCCGAGUAGUC
rnacentral:rRNA from 1 species